GCUGGGUGUAGUGGUGCACACCUGUAAUCCCAGCAACUCAGGAGGCUGAGGCAGGAAGAUCCCAAGUUCAAGGUCAGCCUUAGCAAUAUAGAGAGGCCCUAAGCAACUUAGUGGAAACCUUGUCUCAA
rnacentral:sRNA from 1 species